AUCUAUCUGGCGAGUCCCAAAUAGGACGAAACGAGCGUCAUGGAU
rfam:Schistosoma rodhaini strain Burundi genome assembly, scaffold: SROB_scaffold0005502